GAUGAACGCUGGCGGCGUGCCUAAUACAUGCAAGUCGAGCGAACAGACGAGGAGCUUGCUCCUUUGACGUUAGCGGCGGACGGGUGAGUAACACGUGGAUAACCUACCUAUAAGACUGGGAUAACUUCGGGAAACCGGAGCUAAUACCGGAUAACAUGUUGAACCGCAUGGUUCAACAGUGAAAGACGGUCUUGCUGUCACUUAUAGAUGGAUCCGCGCCGCAUUAGCUAGUUGGUAAGGUAACGGCUUACCAAGGCAACGAUGCGUAGCCGACCUGAGAGGGUGAUCGGCCACACUGGAACUGAGACACGGUCCAGACUCCUACGGGAGGCAGCAGUAGGGAAUCUUCCGCAAUGGGCGAAAGCCUGACGGAGCAACGCCGCGUGAGUGAAGAAGGUCUUCGGAUCGUAAAACUCUGUUAUUAGGGAAGAACAAAUGUGUAAGUAACUAUGCACGUCUGGACGGUACCUAAUCAGAAAGCCACGGCGAACUACGU
rnacentral:rRNA from 1 species